UAUAUGCAAAGUGCUUUACUAUAUCUGUAUUCACAGGGAGGAACAGAAACAGGAGGAAGAUGAGGAGGAGGAAAGGGAGAAAGAUAUGGAGGAAGAGGGAAAGAAGAUGGAAAGUAAGAAAGAGGAGGAGGGAGAGGGAAAGAGUGUUGUGCUGAGAGUCUCAGACAGAGGGGCUUAAUUUCAUUUCUGCAUAUACUAAGAAAAAAUUUCAGAAUCAUCCUUAUUAGGUUAGAUACUCCAACGCACUCCAUACAUAAGCAAAAAUGAGCUUGGCUUUUAUGGAACUGAAGUAUGGAGCGGAUUAUUCCAAAGUUAUUUUAAAAAGGGGUUUUGAGGGUUAUGAACUAGGAGCUAGUUGAAUACCUCAUGUACCAAAAGAAGGAAGAGCUUCCUGUGCUACCAUAAAGAUAAUGGGUCAUGAUCCAGAACUCUCCUUCCCAGUGGCCUUAGAAGAGAUCAUGGCUCACAGCAGAAAUUCACUAAAUAUUUGGAGAUUUUAAGUAAAGGUUUUGAUCAGGAAAGGGAAGUAAUGAAAAGUAGCUUUGGGUUGGGAGGCCAAGGCAGGAGGAUUGCUUGAGGCCAGGAGUUCAAGACUAGCCUAGGCAACAAGACAAGACCCCACCUCUACCAAAAAAAAAUAAUUGGCCAGACAGAGUGGUGCAUUCCUGUAGCUGCAGCUUCUUGGGAGUCUGAGGCAGGAGGAUAGCUUGAGCCUAGGAGCUCAAGGUUGUGGUACAGCUCCGAUGAGUGGAGGAACACCAGGUCUUCUUCUCAAGUCAAAUUACAUAAGACAACACAGACACACGUGGAGUAGUUUUUAAGGAGUGGAGAGUUUAAUAGGCAAGAGAGAAGGCAGAAAAAGAAGCUCCUUGGUACAGAGACAGAGGGAGAGGGGUUCCAAAGCUGAAAGCGUAGACCCCACAUUCGAAGGAAAACAACCAGUUUAUACGAUGGCUGGAAACGGUGUCUGAUUUACAUAGGGCUCAGGGAAUUGGUUUGACCAG
rnacentral:lncRNA from 13 species